UUAAGUUCAGCGGGUAUCCCUACCUGAUCCGAGGUCAAAAGUGUUAUCAUUCUUUGUGGAUGCUGAUACAACAAGCCUGAAUAGCAAUUGUGCUGCGCUUCAAACCAAUAUAUCGGCUGCCAAUGUAUUUAGGGAGAGUCUACGCAAAGCAAAGACAAGCACCCAACACCAAGCAAGGCUUGAGAGUACAAAUGACGCUC
rnacentral:misc_RNA from 1 species